rnacentral:rRNA from 1 species
GCUACCCCAGGUCAGGCGGGACCACCCGCUGAGUUUAAGCAUAUCAAUAA